rnacentral:rRNA from 1 species
CUGGUGUGCCAGUUGUCCUGCCAAGGGCAUGGCUGGUUGGCUACGUUCGGGAGGGAUAACCGCUGAAAGCAUCUAAGCGGGAAGCCUGCUUCGAGAUGAGGACUCCCACCCCCUUGAGGGGUUAAGGCUCCCAGUAGACGACUGGGUUGAUAGGCCGGAUCUGGAAGCACCGUGAGGUGUGGAGGUGACCGGUACUAAUAGGCCGAGGGCUUGUCCUCAGUUG